AGCGGUUUCUGCUUCCGUUCCUCAGAGCGGCCAUUCCAAACUUCGGUCAACCGUGCAUGGGUGGCGAUGAUGAGAUACCCACACUCUCAGCUGCCUCAGUUAAAGAAACAUGGUUACCACGUAGAGACCUGCUUCAUCCUGCUCUACAAAACUAAAUCUGUCCCGAUUUAUCUGGAGAUCGCCUCCACACAGGACCAAUCGUCGCCAUGGACCGCCUUUCCCGCUGUGUAGAUGGCAUGCCUGAGAAACCCAAGUGGUGCGUUUGACUACAUGACCCUACAUUACCAGGAUUUUGAAAGCAAGGUUCCCGCCCUUUCUUCCUUUAUGAACGGCCUCAUCCUCCGAACUCAGCUUCCCCCUUCAUCAAUUCAGGCUGCAUUGUGCUGAAGUACCGCCUGGAGUUGCUGUUCCCAUGCGGUGUGCCUUCAUUCAUAACAGGACUUCUGAGCUGUUUUUCAUGCUGGAAAACAACUUCGUUUUGCUUUCACGCGUCCUUGCCUGAAUUCCAGGUUCAGACUCAUUUUCCCUCUGGGUGUGGAAGACAUUUCUCCCUCCAGCCCAGCCCUCUACUGCUUAAGCUCCUGCCUCGGUUUCCCUCCAUGAUGGACUUUAACCUGCUAAAGUCAAAUCUUUCCUCUCCACGUUAGUGCUUUAUCACAGCAACGAAAACCAAACUAAAACAAUCAGGGUGGAAUUAGAGGUGGGCAGCUUUUAAAAUCCCUGGUAUUCAGCAUACAGAGGGCCAGUUCAAUCAAAAGACAUGUAGCUUUCUUCAGGACAGAAACACAUUUUUUUCUGCCAUUAUCUAAAGCUGUCUUAUCUCCUCCCCUAUGUUUAUCCAAAGCCUGCAUCGCAGGCCUCUUGGUCCAGAUUGCUCAACUUCUCCCUUUCCAGACAGAUCCUUGUUUAUGAAGUUACAAUGUUUCUGACUUGAAAUGACACAAUACCCACCUGCCCUCAGGAGAAAGUACACUUGGAAAUUUGAUCUUUUCUUGGGCUGUGUAUCACUCCUUUGAGACACUAGGAGGCAGCAGUGAGCUCCAGGUCCCAGUCGGCCAUCGAGGAUGAGUGUGAAAACAGCCAAUUCUCCAGUUUGCUGUGUGCAUAAUAAACUGUUGUGCUUGGA